GCGCGUAGGCGGAUCGUUAAGUCAGAGGUGAAAUCCCAGGGCUCAACCCUGGAACUGCCCUUGAUACUGGCGAUCUUGAGUAUGAGAGAGGUAUGUGGAACUCCGAGUGUAGAGGUGAAAUUCGUAGAUAUUCGGAAGAACACCAGUGGCGAAGGCGACAUACUGGCUCAUUACUGACGCUGAGGCGCGAAAGCGUGGGAGCAAACA
rnacentral:rRNA from 1 species